UACGUAGGGGGCAAGCGUUAUCCGGAUUUAUUGGGCGUAAAGCGUGUGUAGGCGGUUUAUUAAGUUUAAGAUAAAAGCCCGGGGCUUAACUCCGGUUCGUCUUAAAAACUGAUAGACUUGAGUGCGGUAGAGGUAAAUGGAAUUUCUAGUGUAGCGGUGAAAUGCGUAGAUAUUAGAAGGAACACCAGUGGCGAAGGCGAUUUACUGGGCCGUAACUGACGCUCUAGCACGAAAGCGUGGGUAGCAAAUA
rnacentral:rRNA from 1 species